UGCUGGACCAGUAUGGUCAUGCACAUGCCCCUUGAUUGACAGACAGGGCCUUUGACCAAUGAAAUACCUUGGUUGAGAGAAGUUUCUGGACAACUACCAUAAAUGACCACAGCUCAGAUUCAGCUGGGGUAUAAAUAAAGCUGCUGGCCCUGUUAUUCAGUUGGUCUUUCUUGGAGUAGAGUGGUUGCUGGUGGAGACUCUGUUCCUUAGACUGGCCAUCUGAGGAAAAUUGCUCAGGGAUUGAGACACCCUACCAACCUGGUAGCAUCACCCCUGCUCUGGAGAGGUGUAGAGCCGAGGCAAUGGAGGCGUUGUGGGCCUGGGAGCAGGCAGCAGACAUGACAACAGUUGGCACUUCAUAUAUUUUGGUGGGACUCCAAUCAUCAGAGCUCCAUGGCAAGAACUGGGAGCAGAAGCAAUAUUAAGGAUUUAAUGCCCUUUAGAGAACUCCUUCUCAGGUGAAAGAUCAUCCAGAUAUCCUUGGUGAUAUCAUGUCUCUGGAGAUAUCAAAGAAAGAACAUUUGUAUUUUUUGUUGGGCAA